rnacentral:lncRNA from 1 species
UGAGGUACUACCAGUUUCAUCUUUUGGAGAUUCAGUCACUCCAGCUCCACCACCUAUAGCUCCAGUUGUAGCUCCACCACCUACAGCUCCAGUUGUAGCUCCACCACCUAUAGCUCCAGUUCCUCCACAUAAUCCAGUUCAACCUUCUGCAGCUCCACCACUCUUGACUUAUCAUCGUCGUCCACAUCCAGCAUCAGGCCCAGGUGAUUCACGCCCCGCAUCAGAUUCUGCACCUACUGCGGACUUGUCUCCUCUUAGUCAACCAAUUGCACUCCGCAAAGGUCUAC